CACUAUGCGUCCAGAGAGGUGGAGAAAGCUUAGACCAGCUCUAUCAUCGUGCUACAUCUUCAUUACAGAGAAUUAGUCAGAAACACACAGGAAAGCGAGUCGUCGUGGUGACUCAUGGAGGUGUCAUAAGGGCACUAUAUAGGCGGGCUUGCUCGACAAGGUUCCGGGGAAGUAUACUAAAUACUUCUGUGAACAUAUUUCAUAUAUCUGGUGAUGGUGUGUGGACCAUAAAAGCUUGGGGUGAUGUCACUCAUCUUCACCAAACAUGACAGUAUUCUAUGUCUGGUUUUGGGGUUAACAAAGCAUCAUCUGCGGUUACUUCUGUUGUCACUUGAAUAAAUCAACAAUGUCUUUGAAACUUAUUAGGGAUUAAAGAAUUGUGAAGUGGAUU